CGACCGGCGCACGGGUGAGUAACACGUAUGCAACCUGGCCGCCACAGGGGGAUAACCCGCGGAAACGCGGCCUAAUACCCCGUGACGCCACCGGAGGGCAUCCUCCGGUGGCCAAAGGAGCGAUCCGGUGGCGGAUGGGCAUGCGGCGCAUUAGCUAGACGGCGGGGUGACGGCCCACCGUGGCGACGAUGCGUAGGGGUUCUGAGAGGAAGGCCCCCCACACUGGGACUGAGACACGGCCCAGACUCCUACGGGAGGCAGCAG
rnacentral:rRNA from 1 species